CCUACGGGAGGCAGCAGUAGGGAAUAUUGCUCAAUGGGGGAAACCCUGAAGCAGCAACGCCGCGUGGAGGAUGAAGGUUUUAGGAUUGUAAACUCCUUUUGUUAGAGAAGAUAAUGACGGUAUCUAACGAAUAAGCACCGGCUAACUCCGUGCCAGCAGCCGCGGUAAUACGGAGGGUGCAAGCGUUACUCGGAAUCACUGGGCGGAAAGAGCGCGUAGGCGGGAUAGCAAGUCAGAUGUUAAAUCCUAUGGCUUAACCAUAGAACUGCAUUUGAAACUGUUAUUCUAGAGUAUGGGAGAGGUAGGUGGAAUUCUUGGUGUAGGGGUAAAAUCCGUAGAGAUCAAGAGGAAUACUCAUUGCGAAGGCGACCUGCUAGAACAUAACUGACGCUGAUGCGCGAAAGCGUGGGGAGCAAACAGGAUUAGAUACCCCAGUAGUC
rnacentral:rRNA from 1 species